rnacentral:rRNA from 1 species
AACGAACGCUGGCGGCAUGCCUAACACAUGCAAGUCGAACGAGACCUUCGGGUCUAGUUGCGCACGGGUGCGUAACGCGUGGGAACCUGCCCUUAGGUUCGGAAUAACUCCCCGAAAGGGGUGCUAAUACCGGAUAAUGUCUUCGGACCAAAGAUUUAUCGCCUUUGGAUGGGCCCGCGUUGGAUUAGCUAGUUGGUAGGGUAAAAGCCUACCAAGGCGACGAUCCAUAGCUGGUCUGAGAGGAUGAUCAGCCACACUGGGACUGAGACACGGCCCAGAAUCGUACGGGAGGCAGCAGUGGGGAAUAUUGGACGAUGGGCGAAAGCCUGAUCCAGCAAUGCCGGGUGAGUGAUGAAGGCCUUAGGGUUGUAAAGCUCUUUUACCCGGGAUGAUAAUGACAGUACCGGGAGAAUAAGCUCCGGCUAACUCCGUG